rnacentral:piRNA from 1 species
UGAUGGUAUGAGAGUAGUGGACA